GUGUCAGCAGCCGCGGUAAUACAGAGGGUGCGAGCGUUGUCCGGAAUCACUGGGCGUAAAGGGCGCGUAGGUGGCUUGGUAAGCGUGUGGUGAAAGCCCGGGGCUCAACCCCGGGUCUGCCGUGCGAACUGCCUGGCUUGAGCGUAGUAGAGGCAGGUGGAAUUUCGGGUGUAGCGGUGGAAUGCGUAGAGAUCCGAAAGAACACCGGUGGCGAAGGCGGCCUGCUGGGCUACUGCUGACACUGAGGCGCGACAGCGUGGGGAGCAAACAGGAUUAGAUACCCUGGUAGUCCACGCCGUAAACGAUGGGUACUAGGUGUCUGGGGGAACGACCCCCUGGGUGCCGGCGCUAACGCAUGAAGUACCCCGCCUGGGGAGUACGGCCGCAAGGCUGAAACUUAAAUGAAUUGACGGGG
rnacentral:rRNA from 1 species